rnacentral:tRNA from 4 species
CACUGAGAAGCUAAAUAGGGAUUAGCAUUAGCCUUUUAAGCUAAAGAUUGGUGACCCCCAACCACCCCCAGUGA